rnacentral:rRNA from 1 species
AUUGAACGCUGGCGGCAUGCCUUACACAUGCAAGUCGAACGGCAGCACGGGGGGUACCCCUGGUGGCGAGUGGCGAACGGGUGAGUAAUAUAUCGGAACGUGUCCUGUAGCGGGGGAUAACCUAUCGAAAGAUGGACUAAUACCGCAUACGACCUACGGGUGAAAGCGGAGGACCGCAAGGCUUCGCACUAUAGGAGCGGCCGAUAUCGGAUUAGCUAGUUGGCGGGGUAACGGCCCACCAAGGCGACGAUCCGUAGCUGGUCUGAGAGGACGAUCAGCCACACUGGAACUGAGACACGGUCCAGACUCCUACGGGAGGCAGCAGUGGGGAAUUUUGGACAAUGGGCGCAAGCCUGAUCCAGCCAUGCCGCGUGAGUGAAGAAGGCCUUCGGGUUGUAAAGCUCUUUCGGCGGGGACGAAACGGUUCGUGCUAAUACCACGGACUACUGACGGUACCCGCAGAAGAAGCACCGGCUAACUACGUG